AGGUUAAGUUAAAAAGGGCGCAUGGUGAAUGCCUUGGCACUAGAAGCCGAUGAAGGACGGGACUAACACCGAUAUGCUUCGGGGAGCUGUACGUAAGCUUUGAUCCGGAGAUUUCCGAAUGGGGAAACCCAGCAGCUUUAAUCAGCUGUUACUAUAUAGUGAAUUCAUAGCUAUGUAGAGGUAGACGUGGGGAACUGAAACAUCUCAGUACCCACAGGAGCAGAAAGAAAUUUCGAUUCCCUAAGUAGCGGCGAGCGAACGGGGAACAGCCCAAACCAACGAGCUUGCUCGUUGGGGUUGUAGGACUGAACAUUUGAGUUACCAAAGUUGUUGAUAAUCGAACAAUCUGGGAAGGUUGGCGAAACAGGGUGAUAGCCCCGUAGGUGAAAUCAAUGACCCUCAGUUCAGGAUCCUGAGUACGGCGACACACGUGAAACGUCGUCGGAAUCCGGGAGGACCAUCUCCCAAGGCUAAAUACUCUCUAGUGACCGAUAGUGAACCAGUACCGUGAGGGAAAGGUGAAAAGCACCCCGGAAGGGGAGUGAAAUAGUUCCUGAAACCAUGUGCCUACAAGCAGUUAGAGCCCGUUAAUGGGUGAUAGCGUGCCUCUUGUAGAAUGAACCGGCGAGUUACGGUAACAUGCAAGGUUAAGGUUUAAAAGCCGGAGCCGCAGCGAAAGCGAGUCUGAAAUGGGCGUUUGAGUAUGUUGCUGUAGACCCGAAACCAGGUGAUCUACCCAUGUCCAGGCUGAAGGUGCGGUAAAACGCACUGGAGGGCCGAACCCGUGUACGUUGAAAAGUGCUGGGAUGAGGUGUGGGUAGCGGUGAAAUUCCAAACGAACUUGGAGAUAGCUGGUUCUCUCCGAAAUAGCUUUAGGGCUAGCCUCGGACGUAGAAUCAUGGAGGUAGAGCCACUGUUUGGAUGAGGGGCCCGUCAUGGGUUACUAAGUUCAGAUAAACUCCGAAUACCAUUGAUUUUUAUCCGGGAGUCAGACGGUGAGUGAUAAGAUCCAUCGUCAAAAGGGGAACAGCCCAGACCACCAGUUAAGGUCCCUAAAUAUAUGCUAAGUGGAAAAGGAUGUGGAGUUGCAUAGACAACUAGGAUGUUGGCUCAGAAGCAGCCACCAUUUAAAGAGUGCGUAAUAGCUCACUAGUCGAGUGAUUCCGCGCCGAAAAUUUACCGGGGCUAAGCAUAUUACCGAGACUGUGGACUUGACCUUUGGUCAAGUGAUAGGAGAGCGUUCUAAGGGCAAUGAAGCCAGACCGUAAGGACUGGUGGAGCGCUUAGAAGUGAGAAUGCCGGUAUGAGUAGCGAAAGAUCAGUGAGAAUCUGAUCCACCGAAUGACUAAGGUUUCCUGGGGAAGGCUCGUCCUCCCAGGGUUAGUCGGGACCUAAGCCGAGGCCGAAAGGCGUAGGCGAUGGAUAACAGGUUGAGAUUCCUGUACUAGUUGAUGAUGUUUGAGCGAUGGAGGGACGCAGGAGGCUAAGUUGUGCAUCCAGUUGGAAAGGGAUGUUCAAGCAACGAGUCAGUCAAUGAGUUAAAUGCUUAUUGGCGGGUUGACAAGUUGUGAUGAGGACCGAAAUUUAAGUAGGGAAGCAACCAACGUCACACUGCCGAGAAAAGCUUCUAGUGAGUCAUCAACUACCCGUACCGCAAACCGACACAGGUAGUCGAGGAGAGAAUCCUCAGGUGAGCGAGUGAACUCUCGUUAAGGAACUCGGCAAAAUGACCCCGUAACUUCGGGAGAAGGGGUGCUGUGCGCAAGCACAGCCGCAGUGAAAAGGCCCAGGCGACUGUUUAUCAAAAACACAGGUUUCUGCAAAAUCGUAAGAUGACGUAUAGGGGCUGACGCCUGCCCGGUGCUGGAAGGUUAAGUGGAUGAGUUAGCUUCGGCGAAGCCCAGAAAUGAAGCCCCAGUAAACGGCGGCCGUAACUAUAACGGUCCUAAGGUAGCGAAAUUCCUUGUCGGGUAAGUUCCGACCCGCACGAAAGGCGUAACGAUCUGGGCACUGUCUCAACGAGAGACUCGGUGAAAUUAAGAUACCUGUGAAGAAGCAGGUUACCCGCGACAGGACGGAAAGACCCCAUGGAGCUUUACUGUAGCUUGAUAUUGGGUGUUGACACAGCUUGUACAGGAUAGGUAGGAGCCAUUGAAGCCGGAACGCUAGUUUCGGCAGAGGCGUUGGUGGGAUACUACCCUCGCUGUGUGAACACUCUAACCCGCGCCACUCAGCGUGGCGGGAGACAGUGUCAGGUAGGCAGUUUGACUGGGGCGGUCGCCUCCCAAACAGUAACGGAGGCGCCCAAAGGUUCCCUCAGAAUGGUUGGAAAUCAUUCAACGAGUGUAAAGGCAGAAGGGAGCUUGACUGCGAGACAGACAGGUCGAGCAGGGACGAAAGUCGGGCUUAGUGAUCCGGUGGUACCGUAUGGAAGGGCCAUCGCUCAACGGAUAAAAGCUACCCUGGGGAUAACAGGCUUAUCUCCCCCAAGAGUCCACAUCGACGGGGAGGUUUGGCACCUCGAUGUCGGCUCAUCGCAUCCUGGGGCUGUAGUCGGUCCCAAGGGUUGGGCUGUUCGCCCAUUAAAGCGGUACGCGAGCUGGGUUCAGAACGUCGUGAGACAGUUCGGUCCCUAUCCGUCGCGGGCGUAGGAAAUUUGAGAGGAGCUGUCCUUAGUACGAGAGGACCGGGAUGGACAUACCGCUGGUGUACCAGUUGCGCCGCCAGGCGCACCGCUGGGUAGCUACGUAUGGAUGAGAUAAACGCUGAAAGCAUCUAAGUGUGAAACUCACCUCAAGAUGAGAUUUCCCAUUCCUAUAUGGAAGUAAGACCCCUGAGAGAUGAUCAGGUAGAUAGGUUGGAAGUGGAAGUGCAGUGAUGUACGGAGCGGACCAAUACUAAUCGGUCGAGGACUUAACCAAG
rnacentral:rRNA from 1 species